rnacentral:rRNA from 1 species
CCUGGAUACUCCUACGGGAGUCAGCAGUAGGGAAUCUUCGGCAAUGGACGGAAGUCUGACCGAGCAACGCCGCGUGAGUGAAGAAGGUUUUCGGAUCGUAAAGCUCUGUUGUAAGAGAAGAACGAGUGUGAGAGUGGAAAGUUCACACUGUGACGGUAUCUUACCAGAAAGGGACGGCUAACUACGUGCCAGCAGCCGCGGUAAUACGUAGGUCCCGAGCGUUAUCCGGAUUUAUUGGGCGUAAAGCGAGCGCAGGCGGUUAGAUAAGUAUGAAGUUAAAGGCGGUGGCUUAACCAUAGUACGCUUUGGAAACUGUUUAACUUGAGUGCAGAAGGGCAGAGUGGAAUUCCAUGUGUAGCUGUGAAAUGCGUAGAUAUAUGGAGGAACACCGGUGGCGAAAGCGGCUCUCUGGUCUGUAACUGACGCUGAGGCUCGAAAGCGUGGGGAGCAAACAGGAUUAGAAACCCGGGUAGUCCAGAAGUG